UCCCUGGUAGUAUAUCGGUUAGUACACGCGCCUGUCAUGGUUGCGGUUGAGCCAGUUAUUUGCGCGCGAAAGCUGGGUUCGACUCCCAGCCAGGGAG